CAGAGAACCAAAGCUCUUCAAAUGUUUCUGCACAGAGUCCCAGUCCUUUAGAUGCUUGUAUGGAGACUGCCAACAUUUUAGAUGCUUCUGAUCCUCCUACGUAUACCCUCAUCCUUACUCCUGUUACACCUGAACUGGAAAGAAUUUUUAACAAGAAAUUAACACAGAAAGUCUUUUCAAAUAAUAGGAACUUUUAAACACAACUUUGAUAGAAUUUUAAAUAGAAAGAACUCAAUUAAUUGGGUAUAAUAAAUUAGUUAUAUAUUUUUUCUAUUGAGUGGUACUUAAACAGGUCAACCCCAGCUCUUCCUGUGCUCCUGAGGUCAACCCCAGCUCUUCUGGUGCUCCUGAGGUCAACCCCAGCUCUUCUGGUGCUCCUGAGGUCAACCCCAGCUCUUCCGGUACAAACAAGUUCUCUAGCAGGAAAAGAACAAAAAAGAUCCUGUCAAAAGUGGUUCCUAAUCUGGUCAACCCCAGCUCUUCUGGUGCUCCUGAGGUCAACCCCAGCUCUUUAGAUACAAACAAGUUCUCCAGCAGGAAAAGAACACAAAAGAUCCUGUCAAAAGUGUCCAAAACCAGCUCUUCAUUUGGUCCUACCUUUGCCUGCAGGAAAAGAAGAAUGUUCCACCCAAAUGAUUGCCCUGUCCACACUGUGGCUAAAACCCACCCAUUUGAAAAAAUCUUGUCACAGAGGGUAUCAGAAGAGGGCACAAAAGAGGUCAAAGUACGUUGGAAGCAGUGUUCUGGAUG